rnacentral:rRNA from 1 species
GACGAACGCUGGCGGCGUGCCUAAUACAUGCAAGUUGAGCGAUGAAGAUUGGUGCUUGCACCAAUUUGAAGAGCAGCGAACGGGUGAGUAACGCGUGGGGAAUCUGCCUUUGAGCGGGGGACAACAUUUGGAAACGAAUGCUAAUACCGCAUAAUAACUUUAAACAUAAGUUUUAAGUUUGAAAGAUGCAAUUGCAUCACUCAAAGAUGAUCCCGCGUUGUAUUAGCUAGUUGGUGAGGUAAAGGCUCACCAAGGCGAUGAUACAUAGCCGACCUGAGAGGGUGAUCGGCCACAUUGGGACUGAGACACGGCCCAAACUCCUACGGGAGGCAGCAGUAGGGAAUCUUCGGCAAUGGACGAAAGUCUGACCGAGCAACGCCGCGUGAGUGAAGAAGGUUUUCGGAUCGUAAAACUCUGUUGGUAGAGAAGAACGUUGGUGAGAGUGGGAAGCUCAUCAAGUGACGGUAACUACCCAGAAAGGGACGGCUAACUACGU